GUCGGGUCCUAAGGCGAACCCGAAAGGGGUAGUCGAUGGCCAAGCAGUUAAUAUUCUGCUACUUGCCCCACGUUAAAAGCGGACGGAGGCGAAAAGUUGGUGCGUACUGACGGAAUAGUACGUUGAAUCCAGUGGUAACACGGAGAUAGUACACAAAAGCUACGGCCGGCGUGAUAAUCCAGCGGAUCGACUUCCAAGAAAAGCGAGUGGUGGCAACCCGUACCGUAAACCGACACAGGUAGUUGGGAUGAGAAUUCUAAGG
rnacentral:rRNA from 1 species